rnacentral:rRNA from 1 species
ACGAACGCUGGCGGCGUGCUUAACACAUGCAAGUCGAACGGAAAGGCCCUGCUUGCAGGGUACUCGAGUGGCGAACGGGUGCGUAACACGUGGGUGAUCUGCCCUGCACUUCGGGAUAAGCCUGGGAAACUGGGUCUAAUACCGGAUAGGAGCCAUUUUUAGUGUGAUGGUUGGAAAGUUUUUUCGGUGUAGGGUGAGCUCGCGGCCUAUCAGCUUGUUGGUGGGGUAAUGGCCUACCAAGGCGGCGACGGGUAGCCGGCCUGAGAGGGUGGACGGCCACAUUGGGACUGAGAUACGGCCCAGACUCCUACGGGCGGCAGCAGUGGGGAAUAUUGCACAAUGGGCGCAAGCCUGAUGCAGCGACGCCGCGUGGGGGAUGACGGCCUUCGGGUUGUAAACUCCUUUCGCUAGGGACGAAGCUUUUUGUGACGGUACCUAGAUAAGAAGCACCGGCUAACUACGUG